GGAGUUAGCCGGUGCUUCUUCUGCGAGUAACGUCACAGAUGUAAGGUAUUAACUUACACCCUUUCCUCCUCGCUGAAAGUGCUUUACAACCCGAAGGCCUUCUUCACACACGCGGCAUGGCUGCAUCAGGGUUUCCCCCAUUGUGCAAUAUUCCCCACUGCUGCCUCCCGUAGGAGUCUGGGCCGUGUCUCAGUCCCAGUGUGGCUGAUCAUCCUCUCAGACCAGCUAGGGAUCGUCGCCUAGGUGAGCCUUUACCUCACCUACUAGCUAAUCCCACCUGGGCUUAUCCAUCAGCGCAAGGCCCGAAGGUCCCCUGCUUUCCCCCGUAGGGCGUAUGCGGUAUUAGCAGUCGUUUCCAACUGUUAUCCCCACAAAUGGGCAAAUUCCCAGGCAUUACUCACCCGUCCGCCGCUCGUCAUCUUCAAAAGCAAGCUUUUGAAAUGUUACCGCUCGACUUGCAUGUGUUAGGCCUGCCGCCAGCGUUCAAUCUGAGCCAGGAUCAAACUCUGA
rnacentral:rRNA from 1 species